rnacentral:misc_RNA from 1 species
CUGCUUGUUUCUCCCCUUUUGAAUUUGGAUGAUCUAACAAAUGUUUUCUUCUUAGUCCUUCCGGUUUCAGUUUUGGGUCUAGGCCUGCUGACCUUAUCCAUCAGUGCAGAGAGUGCUGUCUGUCCUAGUGGAACAGCUAAUGCCAUUAAGAAAGCACUAGGGCCUGUUCCCAGCAGCAAUGAUAUACCAAUGGCGGGAACCAUCCAACCAAAAGCUCUAAUCACCUUGAAAAUCCAGAAGUCAUCCUC